AAACUUAAAGGAAUUGACGGGACCCGCACAAGCAGCGGAGCGUGUGGUUUAAUUCGAGGCUACACGAAGAACCUUACCAGGGUUUGACAUGCAAGUGGUAGGAAUCCGAAAGGUGACCGACCUUCGGGGAGCUUGCACAGGUGCUGCAUGGCUGUCGUCAGCUCGUGUCGUGAGAUGUUCGGUUAAGUCCGCUAACGAGCGCAACCCUCGUCGUGUGUUAUACGUGUCACACGAUACUGCCGGUAUCAAGCCGGAGGAAGGUGGGGAUGAUGUCAAGUCAGCAUGGCCUUUAUAUCCUGGGCUACACACACGCUACAAUGGCAGAUACAAUAGGUUGCGAAACCGCGAGGUGGAGCCAAUCCUCAAAGUCUGUCUCAGUUCAGAUUGUAGGCUGCAACUCGCCUGCAUGAAGUUGGAGUUGCUAGUAAACGCAGGUCAGCUAUACUGCGUUGAAUACGUUCCCGGGGUUU
rnacentral:rRNA from 1 species